rnacentral:lncRNA from 10 species
CCCACUCAUAAUGUGGGUGGGCACCAUCCAAUCGGCUGCCAGUGAAGCCAGAAAAAGCAGGCAGAAGAAGGUGGAAGAAGCUGAUUUGCUGAGUCUUCUGGCCUUCAUCUUUCUCCCGUGUUGGAUGCUUCCUGCCUUCUAACAUCAGAUUCCAAAUUCUUCUGCUAUUGGACUCUUGGACUUACACCCGUGGUUUGCCAGGGGCUCUCAGACCUUUGGCCACAGGCUGAAGGCUGCACUCGCAGCCUCCUUACUUUUGAGGUUUUGGGACUUGGACUGAGUCACUACUGGCUUCCUUGCUCCUCAACUUGCAGACGGCCUAAGGUGGGACUUUACCUUGUGAUCGUAACCAGAGCAGAAGAAUGGUGCCCUGGAAAACAGAAGGGUGCAAGGGCCCUUAAAAGGCCCCUGGCAAUGGUAAGUACAAGCCCUGCCAUGCCCCGAACUAAACUGUCAAACUUUCAAACUUCCGGUUGAAUGGGCACUCAAGGUUUCUUGCAAAUAGGGAGCAAUCAGGUGCUUGGAGGGCGAGUUGGCACAUUUGCCUCCAGGCACCCUUUCGAACUGAGGCCUUAGCAGCUUCCUAUCUGAACAAACAGGAAGCCUAUUAAAAAUGCCCAUUGUCCCCUCCUGCCUGUGCUGAAAGGACUGUUAAAAGACUAAAUCUGCAGACCUCUUGCCAAGUCAAGAAACUCAGGGAGCAUGCAGCUGCUGGUGCCACCUGUGUCUAUCUAAGUCCAGCGAAGAGACUUCUUCCUCAGGGCACCCCCAUUCUGGAGUGAAGAUCCUACAGAGGCAAGAGCAGGCAAAGGUAUUAAAUGAGAAAGGAGGGAAUAAAAUGUAGUUCAGGGUUAUCAUUUGCUGAAAGCGCUCAGCUCAUUUCUCUUAUUCCUCAGUUUCAGCAACAACCAGGAAUCUGUCUCUGCAUCCCCCACACCCCCCAACCUCUGAAAUGUCCUGGCUGGGAAUCAAAUUCAAUGUGAAACACCUGCCUUCCACUGCCGUGCCACAAACACAAUACACCACAUGCCAGUUGGCUGGGGGAGAAAAGGGGACCGCGAAAGAAAUCCGUGAUGUUAUUAAAAAGUGAAGUCUUGCUGUUGGCUUCUCUCUCUCUCAUACACACACACACACACACACACACACACACACACACACACACACUCCCCCAGGCCUCUAAAAUUUUGCACAUGUCUCUGGCUACUCCACUGUCAAUCAAACACUGAAAGAGACAGGCAGCCCACUCCUUGGUACCCUCUGUGGGUAACAGGUAUAUAUGUAGGGGUGCGUGCAUGUGUGUGUGUUAUGAAAGAACUAACCCCGGGAAGGUCCCCAGCCUAAGGAGGGGAUCAACAUCAGGAACAUCAGAUGCUUAGACCAGGCUCUCAUACCCAACUUGGAAAUGAAUUCUGCCCUCAGCAUUCCCAGCGCAGCCGCAAGAUGCUUACAGGCCUGAGCCCGCCGGUCGACCCGUCCAUAGGGAAUGGUAAAUGAGGUGUGGCGGUUGCUGGAGGAGGCCUGGCACAGCAAGGCUUUGUACCUUUUGAGUACAGCAGCCUCAGGACCUCGUGGGUGGCAUCUGUGCAUGACAGCGCUUCCGUUGGCUGCAGGAGGACAGUCCAUGCCCCAGCAUUGCCCCAUCACUCUCAGGCCUAAAAUAGAGGCCCAGUGUCCAUGCCAUGCCACUCUAGCUGGAUGGCCCGAGAGUCCUGCUGUCUUUCAGCCUAGUGUCUCCCAUUCCAUCCGUGGUGGGUGGCUCCUAGCCAGCCCUCCCUGCCCUCCUGGCCUGGCCGGGCCAUGAAGCGGCCGCUCCCGGCGGUCUGCGACAGACAGUGGGGCUCUGUAAGAGCAGUCUCCUGUGAGAAGCUGGAUGUUAUUCUAUAGAGGGGACUCGUUAUUAGAAGACCCAGAGGACCAGGGGUGGCACCUUGGGCUGUUUUCUUUCUCUUUGGCCUUCAUUUACUUACCCUCUCGGAAGGAGCACAGGCCGCCGGCCGGUGCCCGCAAUUCACUUGUCCUGGUGAAGGCAGCUUGACAGCUGCAUAAAUCACGCCGAGAUACCACUAAUAGGUUGCUGCCUGAGACUGUACUGGACCACCCAAGAGCGGCUCCGGGGGCCCUCUGAGGGCUGCACACAAAUACAGUAAUGCAAAUGGCUUAACCCUUUGUUAUUCCGCAGCAUGCUGGAACCAAGGGGCUUCGUCAUGUCCUCUCUCCUGUUGCUCCUGUUCCCCAGGAACAGCCUCAGUCUGUUUCUCAACUCUGCUCCCCACCCUAGCUUCUUACACCUCCUUUAUUCCCCAUCCAUUCUUCCAGUUUCUCCAGGCUUCAGCUGAGGCUUGUGCACCCUGCAGAUAACGAGAGGAGGAAGGCCUCGCCAGGGCUGUUGGCUGAGGUGGGAUGGCAUUGGCUGAGGUUAAGAGAGAGGAACAGGCAGUCAGUGGCAGAGCAGGUCAGCAGGACAGUGGAGCAGGGCGCACGAGAUUAUGGCUCCAGGCAAUGGCAAAGCCUACUUCUCGGCCUGAGGGGGAGAGCGGUGCCAUGCAUGCUGGGCACUUGGGUUUCUGCACACAGCUCAGUGACAGACACCCUGGCCUCUGUCCCUGAUGCAGAAGGGAAAGGGAAGCAUGCAGUGAAGGUGGAGAGGGAGCCGUGCCUCAUUUUCUUGCCCAGUGGAGAAUCAAACCGAGGUUCUUUCUUUCAGCCACAGUCCUCAAGUGCUAACUAUAAUGCUCAUCCUGUGUGAAGUGUGAGGGACACCAGUGUCCUGGCUUUCCAGAGCUCACAGCCCUGCACCACCCCAAGUGAUAAGCCUCUGGCCAGCUGGCCCUCCCAUUUCCAAGCUGUCCUCAUGUUCUGCCUCUGCCCCUUUGCCUCCCUGUGCUGGAGAUCACCCAGGACUGCUCCCACUCAGGGCUGCUGCAUUAUUUGUUGAAUCUAUGUGGCUCCCUCACACCCUUCAAGCUUCUGCUCUAAUGCCGUCUUCUCAGCCAACCUUUCCUAACCACUCUGUUUAGCACUGCAGCUAACCUCCAACAUGGAACUCUGUAACCCACUUCUCUGCUCUUUUAUUUUAUCCUAUCUUAUGUUUUAAGAGACAGGGUCUUACUUUGUCACCCAGGCUGGAGUGCAGUGGCAUGCUCAUGGCUCAUUGCAGCCUCAAACUCCUGGGUUCAAGGGAUCCUGAUACCUCAACCUCCUGAGCAGCUGAGACUACAGGUGCAUCCCACCAAGCCUGGCUACUUUUCUUAUUUGUAGAGACAGAGUCUUGCUAUGUUGCCCAAGGUGGUCUCGAACUCUGGGCUUCAAGCAACCCUCCCACCUCAACCUCCCAAAGUGCUGGGAUUACAGACAUGAGCUGCCAGGCCCAACCUGCCUUAUUUUUCUUUAUAGCACUUAACUACUUCCAAAUACGCUACAUCAUUUCCUUAUUUUAUUUAUUGUGUGCCUUCUCCCACUAGUGGGGUAAAACUUUGAAGGUAAGAGCUUUGGAUUACUCUGUUGGCUCAUGUAUCCUAGGUAAUGAGAAUAUGGUCUCCACGUGUAGGUGCUCAAUACAUAUUUGUUGAGUGAUUAAUUACUAUAACAAAGCAAUGUGCAAUGAGCCAUGGGGACCUUGGGGGACUCAAGAUAUAUUAGCCCAGAGGGGCUGGGAAAGGAGGCAUGAGUCCUGAGUUUAUGAGCUCAGGGAUCAGUCACCGUGUCAGAGAUGCUGGAAGCAAUAUUGGAAUUAAGGAGAUCCACUUCCUCUUCUUUAUCUCUUAGCAUGACACCAUUGGCUCAUGUGCUAAUCUCCAGAACCCAGAUAAAGGAAAUUUUGCAAAUGUGAUUAAACUGGGAAUGUUGAGAUGGGGAGAUUAUUUUGGCAUACUCUGGUGGGCCCAAUGUCAUCACAAGAUUUGUUUUGUUUUGUUUUGUUUUUCUGAUAUGGAGUCUUGCUCUCGUUGCCCAGGCUGGAGUGCAAUGGCGUGAUCUCGGCUCACCGCAACCUCUGCCUUCCAGGUUCAAGUGAUUCUCCUGCCUCAGCCUCCCAGGUAGCUGAGAUUACAGGUGCCGGCCACCACCUCUGGCUAAUUUUUGUAUUUUUAGUAAAGACAGGGUUUCACCAUGUUAGCUAGGCUGGUCUUGAACUCCUGACCUCUGGUGAUCCACCAGCCUCGGCCUCCCAAAGUGCUGGGGUUACAGGUGUGAGCCACCGUGGCUGGCCACAAGAUUUCUUAUAAGAGGGAGACAGGAAGAUCAGAGAAAGGAGGAGAUGUGACCAUAGGAGCAGAGACUGGAGCCAGGUUGGUCCACAAGCCAAAGAAUGCGGGAAGCUUCUGGAAGCUGGAGAAGACAAGGAAAUGGAUUUUCCGCUAGAGGCUCUAGAAGAAACACAGGCCCACGGACACCUUGAUUUUAGCCCAGUGAAACUGAUUUUGGACUUCUGACCUCCAUAACUGUAAGAUAAUAAAUCUGUGUUAUUUUAAGCCAC